GCCGGGUGUGGUGGUGUGUGCCUGUAAUCCCAGCUACUUGGGAGGCUGAGGCAGGAGAAUUGCUUGAACCCAGGAGGUGGAGGCUGCAGUGAGCCGAGAUCACAUUACUGCACUCCAGCCUGGGUGACAGAGCAAGACUCUGUCUCAA
rnacentral:SRP_RNA from 1 species